CACUCCUACGGGAGGCAGCAGUGGGGAAUUUUGGACAAUGGGCGAAAGCCUGAUCCAGCAAUGCCGCGUGAGUGAAGAAGGCCUUCGGGUUGUAAAGCUCUUUUGUCAGGGAAGAAACGGUGAAAGCUAAUAUCUUUUGCUAAUGACGGUACCUGAAGAAUAAGCACCGGCUAACUACGUGCCAGCAGCCGCGGUAAUACGUAGGGUGCAAGCGUUAAUCGGAAUUACUGGGCGUAAAGCGUGCGCAGGCGGUUUUGUAAGUCUGAUGUGAAAUCCCCGGGCUCAACCUGGGAAUUGCAUUGGAGACUGCAAGGCUAGAAUCUGGCAGAGGGGGGUAGAAUUCCACGUGUAGCAGUGAAAUGCGUAGAUAUGUGGAGGAACACCGAUGGCGAAGGCAGCCCCCUGGGUCAAGAUUGACGCUCAUGCACGAAAGCGUGGGGAGCAAACAGGAUUAGAAACCCCAGUAGUCCCAU
rnacentral:rRNA from 1 species